rnacentral:rRNA from 2 species
UUCCGGUUGAUCCCGCCGGACCUGACUGCUAUCGGAUUGAUACUAAGCCAUGCGAGUCUUUGUAGUAAUACAAGGCAUACGGCUCAGUAACGCGUAGUCAACCUACCCUAUGGACAAGAAUAAUCUCGGGAAACUGAGCAUAAUUCUUGAUAGAUCAUAAUGCCUGGAAUGGUUUAUGGUUAAAAUGAUUCGUCGCCAUAGGAUGGGACUGCGGCCUAUCAGCUUGUUGGUGAGGUAAUGGCCCACCAAGGCGAUUACAGGUACGGGCUCUGAGAGGAGAAGCCCGGAGAUGGGUACUGAGACAAGGACCCAGGCCCUAUGGGGCGCAGCAGGCGAGAAAACUUUGCAAUGUGCGAAAGCACGACAAGGUUAGUCCGAGUGAUUUCUGCUAAAGAGAUCUUUUGCUAGUUAUAAAACCACUAGUGAAUAAGGGGUGGGCAAGUUCUGGUGUCAGCCGCCGCGGUAAAACCAGCACCUCAAGUGGUCAGGAUGAUUAUUGGGCCUAAAGCAUCCGUAGCCGGCUCUGUAAGUUUUCGGUUAAAUCUAUGCGCUCAACGUAUGGGCUGCCGAAAAUACUGUAGAGAUAGGGAGUGGGAGAGGUAGACGGUACUCGGUAGGAAGGGGUAAAAUCCUUUGAUCUAUCGAUGACCACCUGUGGCGAAGGCGGUCUACCAGAACACGUUCGACGGUGAGGGAUGAAAGCUGGGGGAGCAAACCGGAUUAGAUACCCGGGUAGUCCCAGCUGUAAACGAUGCAGACUCGAUGAUGCAUUGGCAUAUAGCCAGUGCAGUGUCGCAGGGAAGCCGUUAAGUCUGCCGCCUGGGAAGUACGUACGCAAGUAUGAAACUUAAAGGAAUUGGCGGGGGAGCACCACAAGGGGUGAAGCCUGCGGUUCAAUUGGAGUCAACGCCGGG